CAUCACUUGAACAUCUAACUUGGUCCUACCUGUUUAUCGGUAAUUGGGUGGGGAAAAUAACAUGUACAACUUACCUGUCAUGGGGCGGGCUAAUACUCGCCUCUGUGUCCUUUAUAAAAUCAUGAUUUUAUGUCAUGUAAUUAGUAAAAUCUGGUAAUUUUAUUAAAGGACACGGAGGCUCAUAUUAGGCUAGUUUAAAGCUGUGAUAUAACCAUAGAUGAGAUAUGUUCUGUUGGUUGGAAGUAGUAUUUUUUGAACGUCGAUUCCCGGGACCAAUCAGCUGUGCGGAGAAGGUCUUCCAAUUUACAGCCAAUGGAUAAUGCCUUAGAGGCCAUAGCGCCUCUCGUGAAGUGAGCUCCGUAAACUGAUGUGUCGAGGUUAGCAGCUUACAUUAUCC